rnacentral:rRNA from 1 species
UGAGGAAUAUUGGUCAAUGGACGAGAGUCUGAACCAGCCAAGUCGCGUGAAGGAAGACGGAUCUAUGGUUUGUAAACUUCUUUAGUGCGGGAACAAAGCGGCGUCGUGACGCCGGAUGAGUGUACCGCAAGAAUAAGCAUCGGCUAACUCCGUGCCAGCAGCCGCGGUAAUACGGAGGAUGCGAGCGUUAUCCGGAUUUAUUGGGUUUAAAGGGAGCGCAGGCUGCGAGGCAAGUCAGCGGUCAAAUGUCGGGGCUCAACCCCGGCCUGCCGUUGAAACUGUCUUGCUAGAGUUCGAGUGAGGUAUGCGGAAUGCGUUGUGUAGCGGUGAAAUGCAUAGAUAUGACGCAGAACUCCGAUUGCGAAGGCAGCAUACCAACUCGCGACUGACGCUGAGGCUC